CUAUUUGUGACAAGAAAGUAUUUAAGGGAAAUACUUAUUAUCUUCACAUCGCCUUCUCUGGGUGUCAGACUGGGAAGCGUCACUGAGGUCCUUCAAGGAGCAAGCGAGGCCAGGCACAGAUUCCAGGGACACCGCUAAAGCACAUCUUUCUCAGCAUUGCCAGAAGAGAAAUCUGUGGCGCAAAUACGGUGUCAUGUGACCAUUUGGCUUCAGUUGACUGGACCAGCUACUGUCAUCCAUGCCUGGAAAGUCAUCCACAGGCUGGCCAGAAGCCCAUGAAGUGACCUGGUACAAAAGCUUUGCUCAAAAGGACAUGCUCUAGCUGAAUGUAGUUUCCUAUAGCUACUGAAACAGAUCACCACACACUUAGUGGCUUAAAACCGCAGAGCUGGCCAGGCUCGGGGGCUCACACCUGUAAUCCCAGUACUCUCGGAGGCCGAGGUGGGCAGAUCACCUGAGGGCAGGAGUUUGAGACCAGCCUGGCCAACGUGGUGAAACCCCGUCUCUACUAAAAAUAUGAAAAAUUAGCCGCGUGUGGUGGUGAGCGCCUGUAAUCCCAGAUAUUCGGGAGGCUGAGGCAGGAGAAUCACUUGAACCCGAGAGGCAGAAAUUGCAGUGAGCUGAGAUUGAGCCACUGCACUCCAGCCUGGGCGACAGAGCGAAACUCCAUCUCAAAACAAACAAAAAACCACAGAAUUUUAUAAGUCCAAACACAAGGGGUCAGUUGGGCCACGCUCCCUCUAGAGGUUCUAGGAGAGAAUCAUUUCUUGCCUCUUCCAGCUCCUGGUGGCUCCAGGUUUUUGGAUGGUAGCUGCAUCACUCCCAUCUCUGCCUUUAUCCUCACAUCACCUUCUCUGUGUGUCUCCUCUGUGUGUUUUAUUUCUUUUCUUUUUUGAGACAGAGUCUCGCUCCGUUGCCCAGGCUGGAGUGCGGUGGCGGGAUCUCAGCUCACUGCAACCUCCACCUCCCGGGUUCAAGCGAUUCUCUUGCCUCAGCCUCCUGAGUAACUGGGAUUACAGGCGCCCACCACCACACCCAGCUAACUUUUGUAUUUUUAGUAGAGAUGGGGUAUCAUCAUGUUGGCUGAGCUCGUCUUGAACUCCUGACCUCAGGUGAUCCUCCUGCCUUGGCUUCUCAAAAUGCUGGGAUUACAGGCAUGAGCCACCAUGCCUGGAGACCUCUGUGUAUCUUAUAAAGACACUUGUCAUUGGAUUUGGGGCCCAUCCAGAUAAUCCAGGAUGACCUCAUCUUGAGAUCUGAAAUGUAAUCAUGGGCAAAGACCCUUUUUUCCCAGUGAAAUCACAUUCACAAGUAAGCUUCCUGGGGUUAGGAUAUGGACAUGUCUUUUGGGGGAGCCACCCUUCAACUCCCUACAGUUGGCUAGUGACUACUGGACUCCUAUCCCCCACCCACAGGGAACGGGCAUUGCUGGACGGUGGCAACAAUCCAGUGGGGUCUUCUCUUCAUGGAAGUCUGAACUUGAAACAUAUAAGAAAUUGACACUGCCACUGGAGUUGUGCAGAGGCCAGAAAGAGGACAGGUGGUAGAUACUGUGGGUAAGGAAAAGCCAGGAGGUGAGCAGGAAACCAAGUCAGAAGUCAGAGGCACAGUCAACGAAGCAGUGCCACGAGGAUGGUGCCAAUGCCUGUGGUUGCCCAGCAACCACAUUUCAUCAAUCUGAAGAUGCACCUUUCCCCGCCCCCCGCCCCGCAUUUUGGCAUUUUGGAAUGUGUCUAACAACAGACGAUGUCUUAUUUGCUGCUUUUGGUCGGGCGGCAGCCCUGAGGUUGCUGGGACUGCCCGCAGGUAGGUGAACUCCUAGAGCGUUGUGAUCCCCACGGGCAGAGCAGGCGCUGGUGGCUUUGGGAACACCGCGGGACCCUUUUCACUCCUAAGAAUCCGAGGGUCAGAUGCGUUUGGCAACAUUCUCACAGGAGGAGUCAGAGGAGGCUCUCCUGCAUGAUGGGUGAGCCGGCAUAGGAAUUGUGCCAAGGGCCAUUAGAUUUUGUAGAGACUCUGAACCCCCUGUCCAGAGGACAGGAGCUGAGGACAACAGCAGGCGAAAAACACAAACCUCAAAGUGCGUGCACUGGAAAGAGACCAGAAAGCCAGAUUGAAAAUGUGGAGGUGUUGCAGGAGUAAAUCACCGGUUUCCCUUACAUCAUCCUCUUUACUUUAUUUACUUAUUUACAGACAGGGUCUCGAACUCCUGGGUUCAGCGAUCUUCCUGCCUCGGUUUCCUGAGUAGCUGAGAUUGCAGGUGCCUUUUUACUUACAAAAAUUUUUUUAAUUGAGAGAUAGAAAUUGUAUAUAUUUAUGGUGUACAGCAUGGUGUUUUGAAAUAUGUAUACAUUAUGGAAUGGCUAAAAUGAGCUAAUUAACAUAUGCAUUAUCUCUCAUGACUUUUUUUGUAGCGAGAACACCUAAAAUCUACUCUUAACAAUUUUCAAGGACACAAUCCAUUGUUGUUGACACUAUUUAUUCAUUUAUUAUAGAAAUGGGGUCUUACUAUGUUGCCCAGUCUGAUCUUGAACUCCUGGCCUCAAACGAUUCUCCUGCCUUGGCUUUCCAAAGCCUCUGUGCCCAGCCAUUGUUGACUAUAGUCACCAUGUUGUACAAUGGAUCUCUUGAAUUUAUUUCUCCUGUCUAACAGAACAUUUGUACCCUUUGAUCAACCUCUCCCCAACCCAGCCACCCACCUCCAGCUCCCGGUAACCACCAUUCCACCCUCUG
rnacentral:lncRNA from 1 species